AGUGAACGCUGGCGGUAGGCCUAACACAUGCAAGUCGAAUGGCAGCACAGGAGAGCUUGCUCUCUGGGUGGCGAGUGGCGGACGGGUGAGGAAUACAUCGGAAUCUACUUUUUCGUGGGGGAUAACGUAGGGAAACUUACGCUAAUACCGCAUACGACCUACGGGUGAAAGCAGGGGAUCUUCGGACCUUGCGCGAGUGAAUGAGCAGAUGUCGGAUUAGCUAGUUGGCGGGGUAAAGGCCCACCAAGGCGACGAUCCGUAGCUGGUCUGAGAGGAUGAUCAGCCACACUGGAACUGAGACACGGUCCAGACUCCUACGGGAGGCAGCAGUGGGGAAUAUUGGACAAUGGGCGCAAGCCUGAUCCAGCCAUACCGCGUGGGUGAAGAAGGCCUUCGGGUUGUAAAGCCCUUUUGUUGGGAAAGAAAUCCAGCUGGUUAAUACCCGGUUGGGAUGACGGUACCCAAAGAAUAAGCACCGGCUAACUUCGUGCCAGCCGCCGCGGUAA
rnacentral:rRNA from 1 species